rnacentral:lncRNA from 1 species
GGAUUACAGGCGUGAGCCACUGCACCCGGCCCUGGAUCUUGAGAUGACGUCAUACUGGAUGAUCCUAGUGCACCCUAAAUCCAAUAAGUGUUCUUAUGAAAGACAGAAGAGGAGAAGAUACAGGAAAUAGAAGAAGGCUACUUGAGGAUGGAAGCAGAGAUUGGAGUUAUGCAGCUACAAACCAAAGAAUGCCUUGAGCCACCAGCAGCUGAAAGAGCUAGUCAGCAAUACAACUGGGAUUUGAUAUCAGAUUCAUACGAUUCCGAAGACCCUGACCACCAAAUGCAAAAGGAUAAGAGGGCAUCUCUUCUUCCAUAUUCAUAAAUACGUUGCCAACAGGAAUUUGUUGUUAUUUACACUUUCUUCUCCUAGACAUUUU